rnacentral:rRNA from 1 species
GACGUAGGGCGCGAGCGUUGUCCGGAUUUAUUGGGCGUAAAGAGCUCGUAGGCGGUUUGUCGCGUCGUCCGUGAAAACUCACAGCUUAACUGUGAGCUUGCGGUCGAUACGGGCAGGCUAGAGUUCGGUAGGGGAGACUGGAAUUCCUGGUGUAGCGGUGAAAUGCGCAGAUAUCAGGAGGAACACCGGUGGCGAAGGCGGGUCUCUGGGCCGAUACUGACGCUGAGGAGCGAAAGCGUGGGGAGCGGACAGG